rnacentral:lncRNA from 1 species
AGCUGUUGUUUAGUGAUCCUGGUCAUGAGUGUUACAUGGUAAUAAUUGUAAUGCGAAUAUUUCGUUGAGUUGUCUUUUCUGUCGUUUCUCCUCUCUUCCUUUUUGCAUCUUUGCAAAUGUUCCAUUUGAAAUACAACCUAAGUUUCACCCUCUACCUUCUUUUUGUGUUGAUCACAACUUUUUGAGCUACAACACACAUAUCUAGAGCUUAGAAUUAUGAUCUAUGUUCCUAUAAUGAUCAGUGUUGAUAUGAUGAGCAGGUCAGGACUCUAUUGGUUUAGUUAGAACUCACAGCUAGUAUGAGCCUUUGUUUACUGCAGCAUGCUUGUCAAAUUUAUUUAUCAGCAUGUCCCUUUUUUCUACUCCCUCCGUCCGAAAAUACUUGUCAUCAAAAUGGAUAAAAAGGGGUGUAUCUAGAACUAAAAUACAUCUAGAUACAUCCCCUUUUAUUCAUUUUGAUGACAAGUAUUUCCGGACGGAGGGAGUAUGUUAUAAGCUGCUAUAGUUUAGUGCUAGGUCAAAUUACUAAUGAAUUUUGUUGAAUUUUUAGGUAAAACAUUGUUAUUGGUAUCUUAAUGUUCGAAUUAUAGGGGAAGUUUGUAAACAAUUGACCACCAUGGGAGUCCAUAAUUUGUCCCUCGUAAAUUCAUGGUUAAUAGAAGACUAAUAAGCUACAGAAUGCUUAUCCCUUCACAUCACAUUUCAAUAGAAACAAGUCGAACAGAAUCUUUGUAAUAGCCACACUUUCAUUUCAUAUACAUAGGUGAAUAAUAAUACAUCCUAUUCACACCACUCUUAUUCAUGUUACAAAUAAGAACACCAUAAUAACACAACCUCGGGAUAUCCAGGGCACCUCCAAGCAGCACCUCUUAUUUGAACUUUCACACUGGACAAAGCAUGAGCAGAUAAUAUCAUGACUAAGGAACUCUGGCUCUCUUAAGAAGAUGGAUACAUGGUUGUGCUCUUCUGGAGUGCCUUAUCCACCUCCAGUACUUUUCUGUCCUUUCUCCUCUCUCCCUUUUCCCCUGUACUUUCUGUGUCUUUGCAAAUGCCAUUCCAUUUGAAAUACAACCUAAGUUUCAUGCUGUACCUUAUUCUUUUCGUGGUGAUCACAACCUUUUGAGCUACAGCACCACAUAUCUAGAGCUUAGAAUUAUGAUACAUGAUCCUAUAACUAUCAGUAUUGAUAUGAUGAGCAGGUCAGGACUCU